AACGAACGCUGGCGGCAUGCCUAACACAUGCAAGUCGAACGAGACCUUCGGGUCUAGUGGCGCACGGGUGCGUAACGCGUGGGAACCUGCCCUUAGGUUCGGAAUAACUCCCCGAAAGGGGUGCUAAUACCGGAUAAUGUCUUCGGACCAAAGAUUUAUCGCCUUUGGAUGGGCCCGCGUUGGAUUAGCUAGUUGGUAGGGUAAAGGCCUACCAAGGCGACGAUCCAUAGCUGGUCUGAGAGGAUGAUCAGCCACACUGGGACUGAGACACGGCCCAGACUCCUACGGGAGGCAGCAGUGGGGAAUAUUGGACAAUGGGCGAAAGCCUGAUCCAGCAAUGCCGCGUGAGUUAUGAAGGCCUUAGGGUUGUAAAGCUCUUUUACCCGGGAUGAUAAUGACAGUACCGGGAGAAUAAGCUCCGGCUAACUCCGUG
rnacentral:rRNA from 1 species